CACACCCUCCCCAUGGCCAUGGUUGUCACUCAUGAACCCUGUCUCCAUCACUUCCCAGCUGCUCUCUCUUCUCCAGAUGCUGGAUGUGACAGUGUCCCAACUCCUAAACUUACAGCCCAGCCUGGCAGCACAAGUCACCCCAAAGCACCGAGACAUAAAGGAGAGCUGGGCACAGCUCCAACAGGCACUGAGGACAGGGAAAGUUCCAGCACGGGGAGGCAGUUCCCCGGGGGGCAAAGCUGCAGCUCCAAAUGUUGAGCCUCGAGGAGACGAUAGCAGUCAUGGGGCUGUGGGUAAGAAAGCAGCAGCCAAGUGGACAAGAGGACUCGGCAGCAUGGUACUAAAAGAUGUGCUGGAGAAGAUGGCAGAGCACAAGAAAGGAGAGGAAAGCAACCCUGGCUCCCCAGCAGUGGGACAGGCCCCUCAUGGAGGGGACAACAAAAGGAGGAGAGAGGCAGAGGCUGAGUGCGGGCUGCAGCAGCUGGAGACCCAAGUGCAGGAUGUCUGCCAGGAGGAACCAGCACGAGGAAGGACUCCCAGGAGCCCUCGGGUGGAGGCCAUGCUGUGGGAACUGGGAGAGUUAUGGGAGGACCUGCAGAGGAGGCAUCACGAGAAUGGCGUAGUGCUGCAAGAAAUCGAUAAGGUACGUGGUGUCAG
rnacentral:lncRNA from 1 species